rnacentral:rRNA from 1 species
AUGGGAAAAAGAGCGCUGACUGAGGUAAUCUAUACUUACCUACAAGGUAAAAAGUACAUCUUGAUUAUGGAUGACGUAUGGGGUGUGGAUGUGUGGUUCAAUAUAAGGGAUGCAUUUCCUAAAUGCAGCGGUAAUCGAUUUGUUAUCACCUCAAGGAUCCAUGAGGUAGCAUUGCUAGCUACUGGAAAUCGUGUACUUGAACUGAAACCAUUGCAAGCAGCAGAGUCAUGGCAGUUAUUUUGCAAGGAGGCAUUUUGGAAAGAUCAAAAUAGAACAUGCCCAGAGGGACUAAAACAUUUAGCUCAAAAGUUUGUCAGCAAGUGUAGUGGCCUGCCCAUUGCAAUUGCCUGCAUCGGCCGCCUACUGUCCUGCAAACAACCAACAUACUCCGAUUGGGAGAAUGUAUACAAGGAAAUAGAGCUUCAGCUAACAAAUAACGUGAUCCUCGAUGUGAAUAUUAUUCUGAAAGUCAGCUUAGAGGACCUUCCUUAUGAUCUGAAGAACUGUUUCUUGCACUGUGCAUUAUUCCCGGAAGAUUAUGAAAUAAAGAGGAGGAGAGUAAUGAGGCAGUGGAUCGCCGCUGGAUUUGUCAGAGCAAAGGAUAACAAAACAUUAGAGGAAGUGGCAGAGGAAUGCUUGACCGAGCUUGUGAAACGAAGCCUACUACAGGUAGUGGCGAGGAAUAGUGGUGGACGAUUAAAAUGCUGCCGGAUGCAUGAUGUUAUACGCCUUCUUGCUCUCAACAAAGCCAGGGAGGAAUGCUUUGGAAAAGUUUAUGAUGGAUCUGGUGCAUUCUCUGUACAGGGGACACGUCGUAUAUCGAUCCAGAGUGAAAACAUUGAACAGCUGAGUCAAUCUUGUGGAACACAUUUCCGUGCACUCCAUGUGUUUGAGACUCGUAUCAGUAUUAAUUUGCUCAAGUCUAUCCUAUCAUCUUCGAGGCUGCUGUCGAUGUUGGAUCUGCAAGGUGCACGUAUCAAAAUGCUGCCUAAUCAAGUGUUUGACUUGUUUAAUUUGCGGUACUUGGGCCUUAGACAUACUGGUAUUCAGAAUUUGCCUGAAGCAAUAGGGAGGUUACAAAACCUACAGGUCUUGGAUGCUUACAACACUGAACUGUCAUCUUUACCAAACAGCGUGGUAAAGCUUCACAAGCUGAGGUACUUUUAUGCAUGUACUGGUGGGCUAGAAUUUGAUCAGUGUGCUGGAGUCAAGGUGCCCAAUGGCAUGCGGCACUUGACGUCAUUGUGA